UCUGGCGACUGGCGAUGAAGAUUCUUGCUAGGUCUUUGAUCGACAUAUCAGUUUUUGCACCUAAGAUUUAGUGCCCUGGAUUUAAUUUUUUUUAUCUCCUUCGAUUGAUGAUUCCAACAACCCAAAAAAAUGGUUGGAGUUUGAAGGGGAUUUUGAUGGGUUGUAGGCUAUCGGGGGAAUCAAGUUUCUGUAUGUACAUAUCUGCAUCUUUUUACUUGCAGAAAAUGUUGUCACAUGGUGCCAUGGCUGGCAGAGCAGGUCGAUUUGGAACUACGGGUUAACAAGCUAUUCUUGAUCGAUUGUCUCAGUCAGUGCAGCGGGUAUGUACUUGAGGUGCAACAGGUAUGUACUCUAAUAAAUUAGUAUAACACCAUUGUUUGGCAGUAUUUCUUUGCAUCUGUUCUGCGGCGGAAGGAAGCUUAUCCGGUCAUUGUGGAUGGAUGGGCACAACGUUGUGAUGGUAUUGAGGACCACAUAGAUUGGCAGAGUUAGGUUUGAUGCGCGGUGGUAAUGUUCAGUUCAUCGAUAUUGUGUACCUCUGCAAUCUCUGUUGUUGAACAUAAGCUCAGGGUGAUGUUCAACAAACAUUCAAGUCCUGAACAUAGAGUUGCUAUACUUGUGCCUGCGAUAAUACCCUUUUGGGGAUUCAUGAUCCAUUAAUGAAGAAUACACCUGAAUCCUUCAAAUUUCAUGUAUUUGUGAGAGGUCUCCGAGUAUAUUCUUAAUUGUAUUAAUUCAAUUUCUACAACAUGUGAUUUGUACUAUCUUAGUCUAUUUUAUAAGUGAUGGAUCAUUGGUUCAGGGUUCAAUGGGCUCAUGUAAUUUUGUUUUCACUUUUAAGAAAAGAGGAUGUAAUUGUAACUGA